AAAAAAAAAAAAAAGUUGCGGAAGUUCCCUUGGCACACUUGGCUAAGGAAACCUGGCACCGAGGAUAUGAAACUGGGGGACUUGAGGCUCCCUGAAUAAGAGAUGGAGCUUGCAGAGGACGCACUAGGUGCCUGGCGUUGGCCUAAGCACUUUCCAGCAGAUAAUUUGCUUAUCCUCAGGGCAACCUUAUGAGGUAGGUACUAUUAUUACCCAUUUUAUAGAUGAGGAAACUGAGCCACGUGGAGGUGGGAAUGCCAAGACUGAUCCCAGGCAGCCUGGCUCUGCAUACGAAACUGCUGUAUUCUUUGCCCUGUGGUAUCUCAUACCUGGAAGGCAGGCAGGGAACAGAGGAGAAAGGUUGAGGCUGAAUCGUUACAUAAGUGCAAGGGCCCCAGGGUCCUGAGUGGCACCUGAGAAGAGAGGAGCCCAAGCUAUUAGGCCGUAAAAUACACUGCCUGGUGUCUGCCACAUAGUAGAUUCUCCAUAAGUGUUGAACUGAAAUCAAGCAUAAUUACCUGAGCUAUCAGCCCUUUCUCUCUAGUUCAUCAACAUUUCUCUCAAUUCUUUGAUUUUGUCAAACUUGGUAAACCACGGAAAAUGUGUACUUCUUAAAAAAAAAAAAAAGAAAAGAAAAAGAUUGUCCAGUUCAUGGAACACUGCAACAAGACAUGUGAGAAGAGAUCUUACUAGUGUUUAACUCAAAAUCCCGAGAGGCUUGCGCAGAGGCUGGAGCCCAGCAACCAUUGCUUGUCCUUAGAGCCCAUUUAAGGGGCACCCUCCUAUCAUCACCCAUUAGCUUUCUCCCGGUGAAGCAUGAAUAUUUUCACAGUGAAGCUCAGGUCUAACUGUGACACUCUCACUGCCCACAAAAUGCACAGGAUUCCAGUGAGCAAAUAGCCCCGCCCUGAGUCUACCCGGCAUCGGCCACAGGCAUGCAUAGCAGGAACUGGGCGGCUGAGUUCACAGGCAGUCAGAAUGGGUGCUGCUGCUAGCAAGGUUAAAAUCAUCUGUUCUGCCAAUGUCCCCCUCUGCUCACCCUCUAGGCUGUGGUCUGGGUCCCUCAGGAUAGCCACAACUUGGGAGGCAGCCACUGCUCCCCUUGCUUUGGGCCCUUAGCUGCGUCCUGUUUACCUUCACCUUCCUGAUACAUUCCUUGGGUGCUUUGCUUGUGUGUGCAGGGGCUUUGAUCAACUCGGCCUUCCUGGGCCUCGGGGAGAGAGACGGACUGCCUCCGGGUGCUCAUGACCUUUCCAGCAGUAAGCCAAUAAUGUAUGACUCCUGCGUUGCCGUUGCUCGUUUGAGGAACAUCUGUCCAGUCCCUGGGAUGGUGAGGCUAUAACCACAAAGGAAUAAGAGAAGACGACUAGUUUUGUAAUGGGCACAGUGGAUUGAAGAGGGGGGCAGUGCUGAGUCAUUCACGUGGUGUGUGAGGGCUCCUGUUUGUAAAUCAGGGAUUCUUGCAGCCUGCUUUUUCAGGGACAUUGGCUGCUGUCUUCUGACCCACCCUGUGUGGCUUUGGCGUCUCCUGUGACCUCCCAGUAUGGGUCUUGGCCUCAUCCUGCCUCUUUGUCUUUCUGGCCCACCACCCACAGCUUGAAUCUCAGGCUCCAACAGUUGCCUGACCCCCAGAUUCUGAUGACAGCCUACCUACUUGUUCUUCAGGCCCUCACCAGACUCACUGCCCAGACACACCACACAGGAGAACAUGAAAGGGUGAAUGAAUCUUUCAUCAUUUGAUGACCAAGUUGGCAUUCUUUUACAUUCCAGCCACCAGAGGAAGGUGUAUUUUAACACAAUUGCCCUCACAUCCUCCUUAACAGGAUUUACAUAAGUUUAUUAACACAUAUGUUUCUACAAAAUCAAGUUUUGAGAACCAUUUUUAUACACUGAUCUGGGACAUUUUGGGGAUAUGAAAUUAACUUUAGCACACACAGCAAGAAGAAAACCGAACAACAAAUUCUACAAACACCAAAUUUGCUGUGAAAUUUACAUUUCAGAAUCUCUCAAGAAAUAGUGCCCAGCAGCAAUUCUUACUGUUUUCACUUUUUCCCCCGUCUUCACAUUUUUAUGUUUGACAGUGCCAACAUAUUUUCUCAACAUUUAUUCUGAAAGGAAUGUACUUUGUGAAUUCCUUAAAUGCAGGAUGAUUCUGAUUUUAUUGGCCUAAUAGCUCCUCCUUAUGCGUGGGUUAGUAUAACAGAAUGCAUUUGAGACCUGCUAUACUAUUUUAAAUUAAGACAUUUCAUGUAGCACAUAGUAUUUUAAAAUGAAGAACAUUGUCUUGGAAAGCACACAGGCUAACUGCUAUUUUCUUGAUGCAAGAAAUAUUUAAAUUCUCUGUGCUUCAGUCUAUACAAUCAGUUUUCCAGGGAUGCUGUGUAUAUAAAACGAGGGAGUGUAUUAAGAGUAUCAGCAUGUAGUAGGUCCUUCAACAGAAGCUGGAGGUUCUGGCUCAAGGUCUGGCUUGUGUUCAAUGAACACCAAACCACAUAAUUGCCC
rnacentral:lncRNA from 10 species